GGAUCUCAGUGCUGCUCAGUGUCUCUCUACGAUGGGAAAUGAAGGAGCAGGGGGAGCCUGCAGACAUUUGGGCCAUCAGCUGACACUGCAACAUUUCUGGCAGCACUCCGGCACACAAGGAUAUUAGUACCCCGGCCAGCUUGAAAGCUGCAGCCUCCAUCAGAUGGAGACGUGAUCCUAAGAGUGAAUGCCCCCCAGCUCACACUGGGAUGCCACUACAGCUGAACCUCGUGCAUUCCUGGCUCCACAUUGGAGUGGGUUCCUUGGUAACGUCCACACCGCAGAAGGACCUCGGCCCAACGUGACCCGGCCACCCGCUGAAUGUUUUCCUGUGUUGCUUCAGCUUGGACACUUGGAACUGUUUUGGAGCAGCGACGUAAACAGCACGAGCCCAGCCUUAAGGGAGUGCUGUGAAGAAAUGUAGGGCAGGUGCUCUUCUCCAUCAGAGGGGAGGUCACAGAGACCAGGGGUUGUCCUGCCCACAGGAGCCGGGGAACACAGGGGCAGCAGAGGUGCAGAGCACACAGCCACCCAGAUCCCAGCCCAAGCGCGAGGGCUGCUCUUGAGAAGUCGAACAAAACCACGGUGGAGAUUCCAGCACAAGCCCUGGGAGAGAUUGCCUGAGAUGGGGGCAGUGCUGGAGGGAGGCGCCCUGGGGCAGAGCUCCCUGUCUGUGCUUCUGCUUCUCCAGUCCACGCUGAUCUUUCCAGGAGAACUGGCACAGCGCCCCGACUCCGCAUCCCAUAAAUAAGGCUCAGCAUCAGCUGUCAUGUCAGCAGGAGACAAAACAUUUAAUGUGAAAGGCUUUAAAUGGAAGCAGGAAAUGAAAAGAUAAAGGGCAAAUUUUAUUUUAGAUUCCUUGUUGGUACAUAUUUUCCUCCCUGACAGUGAGGGGAUGCGAUGGCUUUAUCAGCCCACUGCUCAAGAACCUAUUUAUGGAACCCUCACGCUUUGCAAGAAAGUGGGAGCGAAUGCAGGUUGGAAGCAGAGCAGGGGAGGGAUGAACCCACUGUCCCCUCUUCCCUGAGUGGAUUGGGAGGCUGGGAAAAUUGCUGGUGCCAUAGAAACUAUCAGCACAGGCUGCAGGGAGCGGGCAGGAACACGGCAGCAACAGCAGCAUGAAGCCACCUUCCUUGCUGCCCAUGGACACAAGGUGGGCUGCCACAGCAAACAGCCCCCAGCACGUGCCAUCACACCAGACAGAAGAUUCUUUCCUAACCUCAAAAGCAUUUUGGUUGUAACUUAGCAACCCGUGUUGGGCGAAAGCAACAAGGAGGAAAGCAGGUACUGAGGAGAGCUGGAGCCCCACGCUCCCUUUAGUCGCAUACCUUAGCAACAGCUCAGUACCAGCAAGGAGGUUGGACGAGCAGGGCCGUCGCACAGCCAGCACCUCUCACUGCUGGGAAACUGCCCCUCUGUCAUCCAGACCUACACGGUGAGAUUAAUUAACGUUUCUUCCACCCAACAGCAGUGAGUCAGCCCUGCCCGUCACACAGUGGUGAUUCAGAGCUCCGUCGCUGUCUCACGGGUGGACUUUGAAGAAGUGGAGGCUCACAGUGCAUGCAUUGUGAGUCAGUGACACUCAGGUGAGAGAGGAAUCGAAAGCAGAGCCCAAGGACAAUUCCAAGGACUCGCCAAGGUUUGCCCACGUGUGCUCUACUCACCAGGCAACCUUGGAAACCUUGGGUAUCUGGUAAAUCAUCUGAAACGACUUCUAGCCUUCAUCCUCGAUAUCAAAAUCCUCCCUUUCAUAGCACUGUGUGAUGGCUUUGCUUGAAGAGCCUUAGCCCUUGGGACACCAGGAGGGAAGUGCUGUGCCCAGGGUCAGGCACCAGCCCGGGGCCAAGGGCAGGAAGGGAUGUGUGUCCACCCCACCUCUCCUAUGACACCUGCGACUUCACAUCACAUCCCCAGAAAAGGACCUCAGGAUCCUCAGGACCAUGACGACCCGAGGACGCAGCAGUGCUCAGGUCCUGCAGCAACUUCAAGGAGAACCAAACUUCAUGCAGAGGCUGCUGAUGUUGCACAGCCAAUGCACAAGAGAUCUGCCUGCAAAAAAACAUGGGGAACUCAUGAUGCUCCCUGUUCCCACAGCCUUACAGCUCUGUGCCAUUCCCCAUCUUGAACCAACGCUUUACGAAGGACCACAGGAAAACCCAUCAACCCACUGAGCUAAUAAUUGCAGUACCCCAAUCCUCAAAGCUGUCAAUCUCUUCAAAAUGCAGCUAAACGAGACAACUGCCUUCCACGCACUCCUUAAUGCCACCUAUUCCCAGAACACAGAUUGAAUUUGCAACUCAACACUUGAGCCUGCUGGCUAUUGAGAUCAGCGAGCGUCACAAGGAUCCAUGCUGUCUCAUUAGGCUGUCAUGCAGUCCCAUGCCAUUUUCAGGGUUAUACUUAGAACCCACCGUCUCCUUGGAGCAGGAUCUAUUUGAUCUGCGUGAGCAAAAGCAAUUGGAACAGCCUGCAACUCUUCCACAGAAAUAAAAGGUAACAAAUCACUCGUAAUAAAUUUAUUUUAUAUAUUGGUUUACAGAGCUAAACUGAACGGAUAAUAAACAGCACCAAGCCAGUGAGAUUUGUUCUACAAAACAAGUUUAAUACAAAAAAACAUGACUGUAAUGCUUAACUCCUCACUCUGUAUUUGGAUGGUUAAAAACAAUCGUAACUCAAAACCUGCAAACAGUUAAAAAAGGCUUAAUUACAUAGGCACUGGUGUUUGCGAAAGCUUCUGUAACAACAGUGGAGAUCUCAUCACAAUGCUUUAGAAGAAUCAAGGCCGCCCUCAGUUGAUUCCCUAUUUAGUGGUAAACGACUAGAAGGCCGUUCCUGAGUCUCCUCUCUUGCUCAAACACCUUACACGUGCGACCAAAAGCAACCUAUGGGCUAGGAGUGAACCCCCCACAGAACAGCUCUCGUGUGACUCCUCAGGCCUCCCUGCAGAAAGCUGCUCUCCCCACUCCCCCUGGCUGAUGAGCAGCACCAGGUAUCGCCAGGAGCCCCUGCCACCCUUCUGCAGCAGGAGGCACAGGUGGAACGACCCACCAAACACCCCGGGGGGGGAGGGGGGAGAUGCAGACUUCAUCCUGGGAUGCGGGCAGGGCGCCCACCCUGUGGGUGGCAUCGCUGAUCUGCAAACCUUGCAGGAGGGCUCUGGCUGCCAUCCUGAGCCCAGCUGCCCAGCAGAGCCUGGAAGGGAAGCUCUCCAUGCACUCAGCAUCAGAGCUGAAUGCAAAAAUCCACACUCUGCUCAUGAAGCUGCUAAACCCACCGCCGACACGCGCUGCCACUGGCUUCUCUCUGCAGGUUUUCUUAGCUUAGGCCAGAAAUGAAUUUGGUCCUCGCUGUCCCAGCGGCGUCCUGUCAGCGGUUUGAUGACACAGGGAAGAACAGAUUAACAGUAUUUUUGCCCAGUCUAAGCUGCCACACUCUGCAGAUAUUUUCUUUGAAGAAAACAAAACAAAUCAACACCCCCCAAAACAACAACAGUCCUACGCAGGACACAGAAACAAACUUAACUAGCUA